UGGAAGUCUGCAGUUUCCAAGUGCCACUUACUGCUGAGGCAGUGAAGACCCCAGUUGCUUUCAUAGCCUACAAAAAGGCAUGCAGAAGAGCAUCUCUGAAUGCACAGCACAUCAAAGCUUGAAGCAGAUGGCUACAGUAGAAGAAGACCUGGGUGCCACUCCUUUCAGCUUCUAUUGUCAGCUCCAAGGUGGUGCUGUGGUGGUG